UACGUAGGGUGCAAACGUUAAUCGGAAUUACUGGGCGUAAAGCGUGCGCAGGCGGCUAUGCAAGACAGAUGUGAAAUCCCCGGGCUCAACCUGGGAACUGCAUUUGUGACUGCAUGGCUAGAGUACGGUAGAGGGGGAUGGAAUUCCGCGUGUAGCAGUGAAAUGCGUAGAUAUGCGGAGGAACACCGAUGGCGAAGGCAAUCCCCUGGACCUGUACUGACGCUCAUGCACGAAAGCGUGGGGAGCAAACAGG
rnacentral:rRNA from 1 species